rnacentral:rRNA from 1 species
ACUAGACGCAUGUCUAGAGUUUAAAGAUGGUUCUGCUAUCACUCUUGGGAUGGACCUGCGGUGCAUUAGCUAGUUGGUAAGGGUAACGGGCUUUACCCAAGGCAAAUGAUGCAUAGCCCGAGUUGAGAGACUAAUCGGGCCACAUUGGGGACUGAGACACGGGCCCAAAACUCCUACGGGGAGGCAGCAGUAGGGAAUCUUCCACAAUGGACGCAAGUCUGAUGGAGCAACGCCGCGUGAGUGAAGAAGGGUUUCGGCUCGUAAAGCUCUGUUGGUAGUGAAGAAAGAUAGAGGUAGUAACUGGCCUUUAUUUGACGGUAAUUACUUAGAAGUCACGGCUAACUACGUGCCAGCAGCCGCGGUAAU